rnacentral:rRNA from 1 species
CAUGCCGCGUGUGUGAAGAAGGCCUUUUGGUUGUAAAGCACUUUAAGCGAGGAGGAGGCUACCUAGAUUAAUACUCUGGGAUAGUGGACGUUACUCGCAAAAUAACCACCGGCUAACUCUGUGCCAGCAGCCGCGGUAAUACAGAGGGUGCGAGCGUUAAUCGGAUUUACUGGGCGUAAAGCGUGCGUAGGCGGCUGAUUAAGUCGGAUGUGAAAUCCCUGAGCUUAACUUAGGAAUUGCAUUCAAUACUGGUCAGCUAGAGUAUGGGAGAGGAUGGUAGAAUUCCAGGUGUAGCGGUGAAAUGCGUAGAGAUCUGGAGGAAUACCGAUGGCGAAGGCAGCCAUCUGGCCUAAUACUGACGCUGAGGUACGAAAGCAUGGGGAGCAAACAGGAUUAGAUACCCUGGUACUCCAUGCCGUAAACGAUGUCUACUAGCCGUUGGGGCCUUUGAGGCUUUAGUGGCGCAGCUAACGCGAUAAGUAGACCGCCUGGGGAGUACGGUCGCAAG